CCCGGGCCUUGUACACACCGCCCGUCACACCAUGGGAGUUGGUUUUACCUGAAGCCGGUGCGCCAACCGCAAGGGGCAGCCGACCACGGUAAGGUCAGCGACUGGGGUG
rnacentral:rRNA from 1 species